rnacentral:lncRNA from 1 species
CCCCUGGGGUGGUGGCAGCAGCAGCUGUUGCAGCAGGAGCUUCAUUCUAAUCUGGUGCUAUCCUAUCUGAGCUUUUCCUACCUUCUCUCAUCUUUCUUCUUCAUCUAGUUUUUACCACACUUUGUUUUUGGUUGGAGUCUUCUUGACCUUGUAAGACCUUUUCUUGACCUUGUAAGACCUCCCAUCCUAUAUGUUUUCUUUGUUUUUGCUUUUGUGGAAGACCCUAUAUCACAAUCCACUGAUAUAGAGUUUGAUCUCCUUCUUUCCCCGUUGCCACCCAACUCAUCCUCUCCUUCCUUGUCUAUCCCUCCUGAGCUGUUCCAAUUUUGGCCAACCAUGAUGCAACAACUAAUAUUAUGCCAUGGCUUCAAAGAAAUUGAUUGAGAACCUUACCUUACCUUACCUUAGAACCUCCCUCAAUGGGGGUACUUCAAACGUGCUAGCUAUCCGGAGACCAUGGCUUCCAAAAGUACAAAUGGGGUAGCAUUUAUUUAUGAGACCAUGUUCUUUAUUUAUGAGAAAUCAAUGUAGCUUGUAGUUUGUGAAGCAGCUAGCAUGCUUGGUCGUGGUCCUUAAGGUAGGUAGGUAUGUAUGUAUGGUAAGUUG